rnacentral:rRNA from 1 species
CCUACGGGUGGCAGCAGAGGGGAAUAUUGGGCAAUGGGCGAAAGCCUGACCCAGCAACGCAGCGUGAAGGAAGAAGGCUUUCGGGGUGGAAACUUCUUAUGACAGGGAAGAGCAGAAGACGGGACCUCUGGAAUAAGCCACGGCUAACUACGUGCCAGCAGCCGCGGUAAUACGUAGGGGGCAAGCGUUGUCCGGCUUGAGUGGGUGGAAAGGGCGUGUAGCCGGGCUGACAAGUCAGAGGGGAAAUCCCGUGGCUCAACCACGGAACGGCAUUUGCAACUGUCGGUCUUGAGUAUCGGAGAUGCAGGCGGCCUUCCUGGUGUAGCGGUGACAUGCGUAGCUCUUAGGCGGCUCCCCAGUGGCG